AGAAAACCCUUUGGCCUUGGGGUCCAUUUUCUCUCAGAGAGAUUGCUAGCUACCCCUUCAGAGGAUUUGCUUUUGGAGUCUCUCUGGGGGAGCCUCUUCGGUGACUUCUUGCUGUGUUUUAAGAGACCUUCUGUAUCAAAAUGGAGAAACUGAGGCACCGAACAGUGUCAGAUCCUGUCUGUGACUAUGCUGAAGGGACUGAGCUGGACUGCCUCAAGGAUCUGACAGGAGGAAUUGAGUAUGCUGCCAAGAUAUUAAAUGAAAUUCCCCAGAAAGACAUUCAGUGCACUAAAAGAGCCUCAAAGGCAGAAAAGGAAGGAAAUGGGCAAGCUUCUCCCUGCAAGUCCGGAGGUGACACCCUGUUCCCAUUGAAAUCACGAGCAAAAUUCUUGCUGACUUCAGAGAACCCAGGAAAUCGCUGCAGAAACCUUAAGAAAACUAUACCGGAAAAUAUUUACCAUUGUCAUUAGACCCUUGGGAACUUUUCCAGACUGCUUUGCUCUUAC